AACGAACGCUGGCGGCAUGCCUAACACAUGCAAGUCGAACGAGACCUUCGGGUCUAGUGGCGCACGGGUGCGUAACGCGUGGGAACCUGCCCUUAGGUUCGGAAUAACUCCCCGAAAGGGGUGCUAAUACCGGAUAAAGUCUUCGGACCAAAGAUUUAUCGCCUUUGGAUGGGCCCGCGUUGGAUUAGCUAGUUGGUAGGGUAAAAGCCUACCAAGGCGACGAUCCAUAGCUGGUCUGAGAGGAUGAUCAGCCACACUGGGACUGAGACACGGCCCAGACUCCUACGGGAGGCAGCAGUGGGGAAUAUUGGACAAUGGGCGAAAGCCUGAUCCAGCAAUGCCGCGUGAGUGAUGAAAGCCUUAGGGUUGUAAAGCUCUUUUACCCGGGAUGAUAAUGACAGUACCGGGAGAAUAAGCUCCGGCUAACUCCGUG
rnacentral:rRNA from 1 species